rnacentral:rRNA from 1 species
UACGUAGGGUGCGAGCGUUAAUCGGAAUUACUGGGCGUAAAGCGUGCGCAGGCGGUUUUGUAAGCCAGAUGCGAAAUCCCCGGGCUUAACCUGGGAAUGGCAUUUGGGACUGCAAGGCUUGAGUGCGGCAGAGGAGACUGGAAUUCCUGGUGUAGCAGUGAAAUGCGUAGAUAUCAGGAGGAACACCGAUGGCGAAGGCAGGUCUCUGGGCUGACACUGACGCUCAUGCACGAAAGCGUGGGGAGCAAACAGG